rnacentral:rRNA from 1 species
GACGAACGCUGGCGGCGCGCUUAACACAUGCAAGUCGAACGGAAAGGCCUGCUUUCCCUUGUGGAUUGCGGGUACUCGAGUGGCGAACGGGUGAGUAACACGUGAGUGAUCUGCCCCCAACUUGGGUAUAAGCCUGGGAAACUGGGUCUAAUUCCCGAUAGGACUGCAGGGUGGUGCCUGUGGUGGAAAACGAUUUUCUAGUGGUUGGGGAUGAGCUCGCGGCCUAUCAGCUUGUUGGUGGGGUAAUUGCCUACCAAGGCGGCGACGGGUAGCCGGCCUGGGAGGGUGGACGGGCAAAUUGGGACAGAGAUACGGCCCAGACUCCUACGGGAGGCAGCAGUGGGGAAUAAUGGAAAAGGGGGGGAAGCCUGAUGCAGCGACGCCGCGUGGGGGAUGACGGGCUUCGGGUUGUAAACUCCUUUCGACCGCGAGGAAGCCACCUGGUUGGAAGGGUGGUGACGGUAGUGGUAGAAGAAGCACCGGCUAACUACGUG